AUAUUAAUCAAACUCCGAUCCUUAACGAUCUAAAUUUAUAAAAUUAAAUAUGAUCUUAAGGACUCAUAGCAUUUUAAAUUUGCUAUAAGGGUUUAAUCAGAAAUGAUUAGGCCUCCCGUAUUUGGAAAGGUGUUUAUGCAACUUCAAG
rnacentral:ncRNA from 16 species